rnacentral:lncRNA from 1 species
GGGGUAAGACAUGUACAGGCUCUAACGCAUAUCUUCUCUCAGCUUUCGAAGGCAUCCGAGACCAGCGACUGUGGGGAGGACCUGCAAGUCUCUAACGGCUCAGCCCGUGAGCUGAUUCGGCCUCUGGGCUUCGGUUUCCAGAGUCGGCUUUCUGAGCAGGUACUGGACGUGGGGGCUCUGUCUCCUGUUUUGGACAGCCCCACGUGCAAGGCCCAGGAGCUGGGAGAAGAGGAAAGAGACCAAAGCAAAGCCAGUGUAGAGGAAGAGCAAAGCAAAAGAACAAAAGCUGCUGAGAGGCAACCAGAGAAGGAUGUUAAACACGAGCAGUUCUUGAACCAGCCUAGCGAAGAAUCCCUGGAGGAAAUAGCCAAGAAGCUGGAGACGGAGCUUGAGCAAGAGAAAAUGCAUUUAUUGCAAACAAAGCAGGAGAAAAUUCAGCAAUUCCAGGAGGAGAUGAGGCAGCAGCAGGAGGAGGAAGCUGAGAAGCUUCAUCAGCAAAAAGAAAAAUCCCUCGGGACUCUAAAAGAAGAUCUAGCGAAGUCUUCUGAGGAGGAAGAGCUGUGUGUCAGAAAGGAAGAAACCGAAAGACUCUCAAAGCUGCGAGCAAGAAUCACCUCAGAGACCGAGGCGGAGGCGCAGAGGAUAAGGUGAAAAGUUUUGCUGCCGUCCCUGGGGGUGUGCACUCUGCUGGUUUGGGAGGGAAACAGCUUGUGUGCCACCAGAGAGCACUCAAAGCGGAGGUGCUCGCCCUCCU